ensembl:lncRNA
CCAGUCUCCCGUCACUCUGUUGGGUACCCAAACUACCAGGUGCUCUUUGGUUGGCUGGGCGCUCGGUGGUUGGAAUUCAGACUGGCCAGUUGGAGUAGCAGCUACAGGAUCUUUACCACUACAGAGCCUGUGGAAGGUGUGGAGGAUCCAACAUUUUUUUUGUUUUUUACGACUCCAUUCCGGACCGCUUUUUGCCCAGGAGCAAGUCGGAAACCCGAAAUUUCAAGUCGUUUUUGGUGCAUUCCUCUUUUUUUGCCUGAACAAAAGGGUGUAAUCGCAACCAGGUCUCCAGACCAGAGCUGCAUCAACACACUGCACAAAGAAACCAACCCCAGACCCACUACAGACAUGAUCAUCCGACUGGGCAGACUGACCCCUGGAUACUUCCGCCUCCUACAGAGACAGGUGGCGGGUGAGGUGCAGACCCAGCCACAGGACCGCAUGGUCAACCAGAUAGCCAUGAUGCUGGCCAUCAUGGGCCUAAGCCUGUCCUACUACAGUGCCAAACGGAUGACCGAGAAGGUCCAGAGACUCCAGAAGAGAAGAGAUCCCCAUACACCCUGAAGAAUUCCCCCCCCCCCCCCCCCCCCCCCAUGCACCGGUCCGCUUUGAACCUGGAGAGAAGACGAACCAACGCGGAGAUGUUGUGGAGAGGAGACGUGGAGAUGUCGGUGUCCAGAACAACACCUUUUCACAACCGAUCAGUCGUAGUCACGUCGUUCACACACUGGGGUUUUACUGGGAUCCCUCUCAAUGCGAGGAGAGUUCGGGGGCUGCUGCUUUUAAGGGUAUCUUGUUAAUUUUUCACACCAAUUGGGGGGAAGAGGCCAACGGUGGGGUACGUGUGGUCCUGAUAAGUUUUGGGGGGGUAAAAAGUACUACCAGCUGUCUAUGGUCAGGCUGGGUCUGAGCUUUAGUCAUUGCCAAGGUACAUGCGUGCAAGAUUCCAUCAAUACUGUUCUUAGCUAAAAAGGAUAGAAAAAUGCAAAACUAAUUAUUCUAAUGUACUGUGAAACUUGCUAGUGCUCCAAGCAUAUGACUGUGUAAAAUAACUGAACAGUAAUUCUUUUUUAAGGGAAGGCUAUCUGCAUUUGAGAUGUAUCUAGUAAUGACUGAAGGCGGGCCUGUAGUGUGGGGAGAAAGUAACCCUCUUAGGUUUUUGUCAUUUCUUAUUGUUAAAAAAAUUUAAGUGAGCAAUGUGAGCUAGAUGUGGAGGAGGAGGAGUCUCAAACUGGUCAAUAAGUCCACACAUAUUUAAAAUCUGCUAAUGUCAGAAAAAAAACAACAGUACAAGUGAAAUGCAGUAUUUUAACAUUUUAGGAACUUGCUUAUCCAAAUCUACGAAAAAAGGCACUUAAUCCAAAUAACAACUUUGUUUUUCUCACAAUGUUUCUAGAUUCUUUAUUUAAACUUAAAUAGAUGAAAGGUGGCUUUCUUUAAAGAACUCGAUCUGCAAUAGCUACUAGGUGUUACCACAGAAUAUUCUAACUUCAGUAAACGUUGCAUGGGUGUGCAGCUUUUAAACUCUACAUAACUUAAGAUUUCAUUAAAACUGUCACGUUUAGUUUUUUAAAGAAUGAUAACCAUGAAUGUAUAUUUCUGUGAUGUUUAGAAAAAUCAAAUAAAGCUGUGACUUGAAUGAUAAGAACAGUGGCAGUUUAGUAAUGAUUUUACGGUGUUUGGGAAUUCUGGAAAAACCGACAUGAACAAGCU